rnacentral:rRNA from 1 species
CUUUAUUGUGGUUUUUGGUUAUGGGAUCUAGGACUUUUACUUUGAAAAAAUUAGAGUGUUCAAAGCAGGCAUAUCAUCGCUUGAAUACAUUAGCAUGGAAUAAUAAAAUAGGACUAAGUUUCUAUUUUGUUGGCUUCUAGGACCUUAGUAAUGAUUAAUAGGGACAGUUGGGGACGUUAGUAUUUAAUUGU